GGAGGGGUUAUGCCUAUAUUGCGGUAGAAAGGGACAUAUGAUAACUAAUUGUCCAGUGCGUCCGGAAAACUUCCGCACCUAAGAACCUUAAGGGGACAGAUCUUAGGUGUGAUGGAGUUGUCCUCUAACAAAAACAAAAGUAGAUUCCUCCUUGAGGUAUCUAUUUCCCUUGAUAGCAAGAAGUUUUCUUGCAGUGCCCUAAUGGACUCAGGUGCUGCUGGAAAUUUUAUU